rnacentral:rRNA from 1 species
UCCUACGGGAGGCAGCAGUGGGGAAUCUUGCGCAAUGGGCGAAAGCCUGACGCAGCCAUGCCGCGUGAAUGAUGAAGGUCUUAGGAUUGUAAAAUUCUUUCACCGGGGACGAUAAUGACGGUACCCGGAGAAGAAGCCCCGGCUAACUUCGUGCCAGCAGCCGCGGUAAUACGAAGGGGGCUAGCGUUGCUCGGAAUUACUGGGCGUAAAGGGCGCGUAGGCGGACAUUUAAGUCAGGGGUGAAAUCCCGGGGCUCAACCUCGGAAUUGCCUUUGAUACUGGGUGUCUUGAGUGUGAGAGAGGUAUGUGGAACUCCGAGUGUAGAGGUGAAAUUCGUAGAUAUUCGGAAGAACACCAGUGGCGAAGGCGACAUACUGGCUCAUUACUGACGCUGAGGCGCGAAAGCGUGGGGAGCAAACAGGAUUAGAUACCCUGGUAGUCCACGCCGUAAACGAUGAUUGCUAGUUGUCGGGCUGCAUGCAGUUCGGUGACGCAGCUAACGCAUUAAGCAAUCCGCCUGGGGAGUACGGUCGCAAGAUUAAAACUCAAAUGAAUUGACGG